CUCCAGAGUAUGGAGGGCAACAGGUUGUCCAAGUGGGAUCUCAUUAUGUGGUGAAGUUUGAGAAGGGUGUCAAUCUUAUUGAAGGAGAGAACAUGCUGUUUGUUCAGGAAAUGACAAAGAUCCCUGUGCCUUGAGUUUAUGCUCUGUAUUCAAAUCCACAAACAUGUAAAAACUACAUUGUCAUGGAGCAUAUUGCUGAUGAGACACUUGCAAAACUAUGGGCAAGUUUGACAUAUGCAGAGAAGGAAUCUAUUGUUGCAAAACUGUGUGAUUACUAUAAGAAGUUACACCAGCUGCCAUCACCAGGU
rnacentral:sRNA from 1 species